GUCCGCCUCUUCCACUACACAGACGGACUCAUGACGCCGACUCCUGUCGUCGGUUUCGUCCGGGGAAAUGGUUUUAGCAGUGGAGAAAGCAUGCGGAACCCUCACCUGGCUGUCGCUUCCGUAACCUGAGCCAGUGCUUCGACCUAGAGAGAGCCUUCUACUACUCUAUUGUGACCAGCCCAGGAAAAGGAGAACACACACAGACAGUAGUUGCAUUACCAGGACUCACCCAUGCAACAAACACAGCUGCUGCCUGUCACCCACCUUUUUGUGUCCUCCAAUAAGCUGGGACUUUGACCCUAGAGACACCCUGAGCUACGUGUGCACCAAAUGUUGUGUCAAGUGAAAACUUUGACCUGUUGGGACCUGCCAUCCGCAGAGCCACUGCGGAUGGCAUUCAGUUGUUUGAAUAUGGUGAAAGAAUUCCCUUACUCUCCAAGUAUAACACUUGGUUAAAACAAGCCAAACACUACAAUAUUUCUAACUUCCAGACAAAAGUCCAAGAAAUAAAAGUGGACACACUAGGUGCCAGCAGCAGCAGCAGCCAUUAUACAACUCAGUAAUCCAAUCCAAUGUUCCUUAAAAAAAUGGCAUCAAAGUGAGAUCGAUCAGGUGAUCCUGGAUAGCAAAACAUGGGAUUUCCAAAUCCAGAUCAGUUUGAUCCAGAUGACUUUUUUUUUUUGUUGAAAAAGUGGGCCCAGGAUACCAAAAACGCUAAAAUACUUAAAUAAGGUUGUUCGGAACACAACAAUUACGCUCACAAAACAAGGAGGGUUUGAUGGAGAACAGAUGAAUUAAGAUGAAAAAAUAAAUAAAUAAAUGCCAGCCCCCUUCACGUCAA